ensembl:lncRNA
GUCUAGUUAACAUCUGUCACUAUAUAUACCUACAAAAGUUGUUUUUCUUUUUUUUCUUAUGAAAAGGAUCUCAAAAAAUAUCUACUCUCUUACCAACUCUCAAAUGUGCAAUACAGUAUUAUUAACCAUAGUCACUAUGCUGUACAUGACAUCCCCAGGACUUGUUUAUUCUAUAACUGGAAGUUUAUACCUUUUGAUCCCUUCACCCAUUUCAUCCAUCUACCCCACCGCCCACCUCCGGCAAUCACCAAAUCUGUUCUCUGUGUCUAUGAGCUUGGGGGUUUUUGUUUGUUUGUUUGUUUGUUUUAAGUUCUACAUGUGAGAUCAUACAAUAUGUACAUUUCUCUGUCUGACUUAUUUCGCUUAGCAUCAUGCCCUCAAGGUCCAUCCAUGUUGUCACAAACGGUAAGACUUCAUUCUUUCCUACAGCUGAAUAAUAUUCCAUUAUACAUAUACUACAUCUUCUUUACCCAUUCAUCCAUUGAUAAACACUUGUGUUGUUUCGAUAUCUUGGCUUUUGUAAAUAAUGCUGCAAUGAACUUGGGGAUGUGCAUAACUUUUUGAGUUAGUGUUUUAAUUUUCUUCAGAUAAAUACCCAGAAGUAGAAUUGUUGGAUCAUAUGAUGGUUCUAUUUUUAGCUUUUUGAGGAACCUCCAUACUGCUUUCCAUAGUGGCUGCACCAAUUUACAUUCCCACCAAGACUGCACAAGUGUUAUCUUUUCUCCAUAUCCUCACCAAUGCUUGUUAUUCAUCCUUAUUUUUCAGAUGAAGAAAUUGAGGCCCAGAUAGGUUAAGCAAUCUGGCCAAGGCCACACAGCUAAGGAUUUGGACCCUUGUUUGCCAAAAUCCAAAACCUGUGCUUUCCCAGUGUGGCAGACUGCCUCACUGCUUGCAAGCAACCCAGAAAUUUUGAAAGCUCUGUGCAAUCAAGUCUAGGAGAUGUCCCUAGUCCAGAUGUGUUCCCGACUUGGACAUCUAAACCAAAUAAGCAAAUAACUAAGUAAGCAAAUUAGCAGUUUUAGGGUCAAAAAUUUGGACUUUGAAGGUGUCACUCUUCUGUUUUUUUGAAUUUUAAAUGUAUUUUCACUUGUGCUUUUCUUAAAAGCCCCAUAGAAAAUUGCAGCAUGUUUCAGCUGUGCUCAUGAGAACAAGGGGAAGAGAUUGCCAUCAUUUAGGAACCUGGCCAUGAGACAAGCGGGGCCAGGAUGAUGAGAAUUCACCUACAGGAGGUCUAACUCUUGAGCAUGUGGCCAAAAUCCAAAGUGUUGUUCAAAGAGAUGCAGUAAACUCAGGCCACAGGGUUCUAAUUCAGUGAGUGGGAGGAGAGCAAGACUGAAGAUCCUGCCCCCUAUUUAAGAAUCUGGGCUCUAAAUCCUUGUGUUGGAGAGAGACGUAGCAUAAACAAGUAAGGAAUCAGAGCCCCCACAAAGAUGGCUGGGAAUAAGGUCACAGUUCUGUUCUCAAUCAGAUCCAAUGAAGAAGCCAGACAUGAUCUGGGCAAACAGGUGAGGGCUACAGGUGGGCACAGAGUUUCACAGGCUCCCAACUCCCCAACCCACUUAAUACUAGACACAAUAUGAAGGAGGGCAAGACCACGCCUAUUAUUGAGGCCCAACUUCCUGAGACACAACAUGUCCUAGUCUGGGCUGGUCAAGAACUGGGCGAGGUUUGGAUUCAGGUUCUGGCCCCAAGAUCAUCAUCAGAGGCAGAACUUGGGCAAGCGAGGGCAGAUAGAUUUUGCAGCUUAUCAGAGCCUUCAUUCUGCACAGCAUGGGGGCACCAUUUCUAUUGGACUCCAUCCACACCCAAGGCAAGAAAGGAAGAUUAUUGAAAGAUGACAACAAAGAAACCUAAAAGGCAAGUGCAUUUUACCUAAACAUCUGACAGUCAGACCUUGCAAAUCCCAAGCCAGUUGCUCCAUGGUUUGAUAAGACAGCAAAAGCUGAAGAACACGGGGCUCCAACGUGCUCUGUGAAAUGCGGUCUCCUGACAGCCAUUCUCUCAUUUAAGAAAAAAAUCCAAUAGAGACACAAAGCAAAUCCCAAAAUAAGAUUUGGGUUCAAAUCUGAGUUGAUAUACUGCAGACUUAAAAAUUUUUCAUUUUUAUUAUGAAAAAUUUCAAGCACACAAAAGUAGAGAAAAUAGUACAAGGAAGCACCACGUUGCCUCAGCAACCAUCAGCUUUCUGCCAGUCUUGCUUCAUCCACCCUGCUGUACUUUUAUUGCAGUUUCUUAACCAUCUUAUGUCCUCAAAAUACAUCCCAGUGAAGACAUCCCAAUAGAGACAACUGGACACAUGUUUAAGCUUCUCUCAGCUGUGCUAAGGAAAACAAGAGAAAGUUAUUUGUGUCCACACAAACACACAUACACAAGCCAACAGAUUAAAGGGGAUGCAAUUCCCUCCUGGAGGAAGCGUGGUGACAGCAGUGGGAAUCUAAACAGAGCCCCUCAACCCAAAAGCGAGAUGAACCUCAGGGAAUGGGGCUAUUCGGAGAGCUGUUGUCCUUCCUUGAAAGGUUCCUUCCAGUGCUAAAGCCUUGAAGAUUCUGGCUUUCUUUUAAAUAAGGGUGGCAGUGCUCGUAUGAGGAGUCCCAGAAAAUAACAGGGUGUUUUCAAGAAGCUGCAAGAAAACACAAGGCUAGAUGAAGAAAAUCAACCUCAAAGAGUGAGCAUCCCCCACUUCAACCCAGCCCACAAGUGCCAACUGCAAAGAUACAGAUACAAGCUGGAAGACACGUUGCUUGCAACAGCCACAACGCAAAGGUGAUAGGAUGCUGCCACACAGCAUGUGCUCUUUUGGCAAAUGUUACUUGGAAUAACAAGCACAGGUAAAAGUGGAAAAUUAUUUUCCAGGAGAUAAGAUGCCAAAUCUCUUCCAGCAUUUUCCUGGUCCCUGAGAGGCACCUGUUUCCACAGCAAUCACAACUUGGGGAGAAUCACUGCCUUCAAUUUAACUGUCCCAGGAAGGUAUUUAGUCUGGGCUAUGAAUUCUGCAUGGGCAGAAAGAGCACAGAAUAUAAGUCACAAACCUCACCAGGACUUAGGGAAGUUGAAGAAGUUGGUUCUGUGGUUAGUACAUCAAGGCAGCUGUCAGCACUAAUCUUGAACUCCACCUUAGUGACUUCUUGCUGAGUUUCUGCAGCUCCCAUCCCCUCUGAACCUGGGUCCUCACCCUGGCAACCUGAUGGUGACAAAGAAGAUGGUGGUGACAAUGAUGAUGAUGAUGAUGACCAUGACAGUGAUGUUAACAAUGAAGAUGACGAUGAUAACAAAGACAAUGAUGAUGAUGACGAUGACCACAACAACGACCAUAAUAAUGAAGAUGGCAAUGACGAUGUGACAGUGAUGAUGAUGAUGACAAUAAUGAUGAUGACAAAGAUGAUAAUGACAAUGAUGAAGAUGACAAUGACAAUGAUGACAGCGAAGAUGAAGAAAAUACUAGCAAUCAUAACAGAAGUGAACAUUGAUUGCUAAGUGCUUUAUACGCAUUUUCUUAUUUUGCCUCACAAAAGACUUAUGAAGUCUUGGCUAUUCUUGACUUACUUUACUGAUGAGGAACAGCAGCUCUGAGAGGUUAAAUAACCUGUCCAGAAGCACACAGCAAGAAGGACCUGAUAUAUGAACCCAACUCUGUGUUAACACCAAAGCCAUUUCCUUCAGAAACAGGACAGCUUAAGAGCUCAGAUUCUUCAACACACUACGUCGAUCCAAUCCUAGCUCAACCCUCACCAGCUGUGGGAGCUUCACCAAAUCACUGAAUCCCUCUGUGCCCAAAUGUCAUCUGUAAAAUGGGAAUAGCAAUAGUAGCUCCCUCCUAGGGUUUUUUGUGAGAAUUAAGAGUUAAUAUAUGUAAAACAGUACUUCUCAAACUUUAACCUGCUUAUAAAUUACCUGUGAUCUUGUUAAAAUGCAACUUUCAUUUGGUAGUUCUAAGGCGAGGCCUGAGAAUCUGCAUUUCUGAUGAGCUCCCAGGUGCUGCGGGCCUGUAGCUCACACUCUAGUAGCAAAACUGUAUGGCACUCGGAACAGUACAUGACAAUCAGUAAAGAAGUAUCGGCUGUUAUUUACCGUUAUUAUUUUAGGCUCUCCUAGGCACAGCCCUGUGCCUGACUGCCUGACUUUUUCUGAGGGUUUACCCCGGCGGCCACCUCACUCUCUAGGAACUGUUAGCUUACCUUAGCAUGGAAACCUAAAGAGAAGAGAGCCACAGAUUUGGAGUUAAAUAGACUACGCCUCUGAACAGCCUUCUUCCUCUGUUGCCUGCAUGAACUAACCAAGUGCACGGAGGCUAACUUCCGCUGGAACCCUCACAAAAAUGCCUUUGCCCCCAGGAAGAAAACAAGAGGAUGUGUCUGCUUCCUCUUCCCUCUAACUCAAGCAGGAGGUCAAAGAGAGAACAGAGUGACGUGGCCACAUGCCAACUUGAGUUGGCACUUGGAUGCAAUGCCUAGAUUCCCCUUCAAGCAAAUUGGGGAUGCUGUCAGCAGGCAGCCCUCACCCAUCAGCCACUUGGGGAUUGCCUGUGCUGCAGCAACAACCGGU